GUGAUUCUGGCUGUCUGAACCUGAAACGGGUUUCAGGGAAAUUCGUGGAACUAUUAAAGAAAACAGAACACUAUACAUUUAUUUAAUAAAAAGUAAGACUGCUAAAAUUAACAAUGCUGAUGACCUUCGCAGUCGAACAGUUAGAACCUGAGCGUCAGCGAACUGGGACCGUUCACUCUGUUGAAAAUUCAGGAGGCGGCUCAAGAGACAAUAGAUUGGGUGUUCGGAGUUUUUUUCAUGAUGGUAGGAAUUCUUCAACUGUAGAGGUCUUCCUUAGCCUACCAGACCCUUUGUGAUUUCUGAGCUCACCAGUUCUGUCUUCUUAAUGAUAUUCCAAACAGUUGACUCAGGGGGUACUACAGCUCCAGUUUGAGAGAUCGCUAUCUACCUCUAGCGUUCAUCUGAGGUAUUGCAGCAUCAUGGUGUAAAGAAGUUGAAUUUGAGCAUUGCCCCAUGUUAAUGAAAGUA